NNNNNNNNNUUAGUACGAGAGGAACUAUUCAUUUGGAUAAUUGUUAUUUGAGGCGGCCUGAGCAGGCAAUGGCCCGAAGCUAUCAUCCGUUGGGUUAUGGCUGAACACCUCUAAGUCAGAACCCGUGCUAGAACGCGACGAGAUUACCGCCUUGGCCAUUUUUAGCUGAAUACGAAUAGACCCACGGUCCAAAAUCAUACGAACAUGGGGUCAUGUUGGAGAGCUGAAAGGCUUUGUGAGGUUCCUGCUAAUGUUAGUUUCAAAUAUUGUCAAGGAUAAACCCAUUGCAGAUGACUCUAAUUGAACGGGGUAUUGUAAGCAGUAGAGCAGCCAUGUUGCUACGAUCUGCUGAGAUUAAGGCCAUUAUUCUAUAGAUUU
rnacentral:ncRNA from 1 species